rnacentral:rRNA from 1 species
GCAACGAGCGCAACCCCUACUUGUUAGUUGCCAUCAUUCAGUUGGGCACUCUAGCGAGACUGCCGGUAAUAAACCGGAGGAAGGUGGGGAUGACGUCAAAUCAUCAUGCCCCUUAUGACCUGGGCUACACACGUGCUACAAUGGUUGGUACAACGAGUUGCGAGUCGGUGACGGCGAGCUAAUCUACUUAAAGCCAAUCUCAGUUCGGAUUGUAGGCUGCAACUCGCCUACAUGAAGUCGGAAUCGCUAGUAAUCGCGGAUCAGCACGCCGCGGUGAAUACGUUCCCGGGCCUU